rnacentral:rRNA from 1 species
UACGAAGGGGGCUAGCGUUGCUCGGAAUCACUGGGCGUAAAGGGUGCGUAGGCGGGGCUUUAAGUCAGGGGUGAAAUCCUGGAGCUCAACUCCAGAACUGCCUUUGAUACUGAAGAUCUUGAGUUCGGGAGAGGUGAGUGGAACUGCGAGUGUAGAGGUGAAAUUCGUAGAUAUUCGCAAGAACACCAGUGGCGAAGGCGGCUCACUGGUCCGGUUCUGACGCUGAGGCGCGAAAGCGUGGGGAGCAAACAGG